GCCGCCGCGGUAAUACGGAAGGUCCAGGCGUUAUCCGGAUUUAUUGGGUUUAAAGGGAGCGCAGGCGGCGGCGUAAGUCAGUUGUGAAAUCGUGCGGCUUAACCGUGCAAUUGCAGUUGAUACUGCGUCGCUUGAGUGCACACAGGGAUGUUGGAAUUCAUGGUGUAGCGGUGAAAUGCUUAGAUAUCAUGAAGAACUCCGAUCGCGAAGGCAUAUGUCCGGAGUGCAACUGACGCUGAGGCUCGAAAGUGUGGGUAUCAAACAGGAUUAGAUACCCC
rnacentral:rRNA from 1 species